AGCGAACGCUGGCGGCAGGCCUAACACAUGCAAGUCGAACGAACCUUUCGGGGUUAGUGGCGGACGGGUGAGUAACACGUGGGAACGUGCCUUUAGGUUCGGAAUAACUCAGGGAAACUUGUGCCAAUACCGAAUGUGCCCUUCGGGGGAAAGAUUAAUCGCCUUUAGAGCGGCCCGCGUCUGAUUAGCUAGUUGGUUGAGGUAAUGGCUCACCAAGGCGACGAUCAGUAGCUGGUCUGAGAGGAUGAUCAGCCACAUUGGGACUGAGACACGGCCCAAACUCCUACGGGAGGCAGCAGUGGGGAAUCUUGCGCAAUGGGCGAAAGCCUGACGCAGCCAUGCCGCGUGAAUGAUGAAGGUCUUAGGAUUGUAAAAUUCUUUCACCGGGGACGAUAAUGACGGUACCCGGAGAAGAAGCCCCGGCUAACUUCGUG
rnacentral:rRNA from 1 species